CUCUAAUUUCGGAUAAUGAAUAGAAACGACAAGUCAGGCGGCUAGUUUACAGUUACUGUGAUUAAUUUGCAAAUUUUUUGUUCAUUAGUAGUAAACACAAAAUGCGUGUAGUAAUUACAAAAAUAUUAUGCAAAUUAAAUAAUAUUUGAACAAGCAUGAAUUGUCAUCUGUGUUUUACUUGCAGCUUUUAUAAAUCCUACUGCUCACAAAUGCACAUUUUAUGGAGAAAAGGACCGGUUUAAAACGGACUAAAAUGACAAUUUUGUUAGGCUGUUAUUGGCUACAUAAUUUUUACCUAUUGCAGAAAAUUACAAAUAGAAAAUUAGCUAUUGGUCUGCUUACUCUACGCAACUAA